UACGGGAGGCAGCAGUGAGGAAUAUUGGUCAAUGGGCGGAAGCCUGAACCAGCCAUCCCGCGUGAAGGAAGACAGCCCUACGGGUUUUAAACUUCUUUUCUGCAGGAAUAAUAGUAUCUACGUGUAGGUAUAUGCAUGUACUGCAGGAAUAAGCAUCGGCUAACUCCGUGCCAGCAGCCGCGGUAAUACGGAGGAUGCGAGCGUUAUCCGGAUUCAUUGGGUUUAAAGGGUACGUAGGCGGUCCUGUAAGUCAGUGGUGAAAAUCUGCCGCUCAACGGUAGUCGUGCCAUUGAAACUGUAGGACUUGAGUACAUACGAGGCAGGCGGAAUGUGUAGUGUAGCGGUGAAAUGCAUAGAUAUUACACAGAACCCCGAUUGCGAAGGCAGCCUGCCAGCAUGAGACUGACGCUGAUGUACGAAAGCGUGGGGAUCGAACAGGAUUAGAUACCCUGGUAGUCCACGCCGUAAACGAUGCUCACUAGCUGUUUGCGAUAUGAUAGUAAGCGGCCAAGCGAAAGCGAUAAGUGAGCCACCUGGGGAGUACGCCGGCAACGGUGAAACUCAAAGGAAUUGACGG
rnacentral:rRNA from 1 species